CCUACGGGGGGCAGCAGUGGGGAAUAUUGGGCAAUGGGGGAAACCCUGAUCCAGCGACGCCGCGUGAGUGAAGAAGUAUUUCGGUAUGUAAAGCUCUAUCAGCAGGGAAGAAAAUGACGGUACCUGACUAAGAAGCCCCGGCUAACUACGUGCCAGCAGCCGCGGUAAUACGUAGGGGGCAAGCGUUAUCCGGAUUUACUGGGUGUAAAGGGAGCGUAGACGGCACUGCAAGUCUGGAGUGAAAGCCCGGGGCUCAACCCCGGGACUGCUUUGGAAACUGUGGUGCUAGAGUGCAGGAGAGGUAAGUGGAAUUCCUAGUGUAGCGGUGAAAUGCGUAGAUAUUAGGAGGAACACCAGUGGCGAAGGCGGCUUACUGGACUGUAACUGACGUUGAGGCUCGAAAGCGUGGGGAGCAAACAGGAUUAGAUACCCGGGUAGUCAAGGGCGAAUUCCACAUUGGG
rnacentral:rRNA from 1 species